CCCUUAGAUGUCCGGGGCUGCACGCGCGCUACACUGAGUGGAUCAGCGGGUCAGGUUGCGCGAAAGCGUUUCCUAAUCUUUAAAUCCGCUCGUGAUGGGGAUUGACGGUUGCAAUUUUCUGUCAUGAACGAGGAAUACCUUGUAAGCGCGGGUCAUCAUCCCGCGCUGAAUACGUCCCUGCCCUUUGUACACACCGCCCGUCGCUCCUACCGAUUGAGUGGUCCGGUGAGGCUUUGGGAUCUGAGCGGAAAGAGCGUUUCGCUGUUUCUGCUCGGAAAACUCAGUCGAACCUUAUCAUUUAGAGGAAGGAGAAGUCGUAACA
rnacentral:rRNA from 1 species